GAUGAACGCUGGCGGCGUGCCUAAUACAUGCAAGUCGAGCGAACGGACGAGAAGCUUGCUUCUCUGAUGUUAGCGGCGGACGGGUGAGUAACACGUGGAUAACCUACCUAUAAGACUGGGAUAACUUCGGGAAACCGGAGCUAAUACCGGAUGAUAUUUUGAACCGCAUGGUUCAAAAGUGAAAGACGGUCUUGCUGUCACUUAUAGAUGGAUCCGCGCUGCAUUAGCUAGUUGGUAAGGUAACGGCUUACCAAGGCAACGAUGCAUAGCCGACCUGAGAGGGUGAUCGGCCACACUGGAGCUGAGACACGGUCCAGAAGCCUACGGGAGGCAGCAGUAGGGAAUCUUCCGCAAUGGGCGAAAGCCGGACGGAGCAACGCCGCGUGAGGGAUGAAGGUCUUCGGAUCGUAAAACUCUGUUAUUAGGGAAGAACAUAUGUGUAAGUAACUGUGCACAGCUUGACGGUACCUAAUCAGAAAGCCACGGCUAACUACGUG
rnacentral:rRNA from 1 species